rnacentral:rRNA from 1 species
AUUGAACGCUGGCGGCAGGCUUAACACAUGCAAGUCGAGCGAGCGGCGGACGGGUGAGUAAUGUCUGGGGAUCUGCCCGAUAGAGGGGGAUAACUACUGGAAACGGUGGCUAAUACCGCAUACUAUCGGAUGUACCCAUAUGGGAUUAGCUAGUAGGUGGGGUAAUGGCUCACCUAGGCGACGAUCCCUGGCUGGGCUGAGAGGCUGAUCAUCCACACGGGAACUGAGACACGGCCCAGACGCCUACGGGAGGCAGCAGUGGGGAAUAUUGCACAAUGGGCGCAAGCCUGAUGCAGCCAUGCCGCGUGUAUGAAGAAGGCCUUAGGGUUGUAAAGUACUUUCAGCGGGGAGGCGUUACCCGCAGAAGAAGCACCGGCUAACUCCGUGCCAGCAGCCGCGGUAAUAC